rnacentral:rRNA from 1 species
AACGCUAGCGGCAGGCUUAAUACAUGCAAGUCGUGGGGCAGCAGGACUGUAGCAAUACAGUUGCUGGCGACCGGCAAACGGGUGCGGAACACGUACGCAACCUACCCAUAACUGGGGAAUAGCCCGGGGAAACCCGGAUUAAUACCCCGUAACAUAAUGAGAUGGCAUCGUCUUAUUAUUAUAGCUCCGGCGGUUAUGGAUGGGCGUGCGCCUGAUUAGGUAGUUGGCGGAGUAAUAGCCCACCAAGCCUACGAUCAGUAACUGGUGUGAGAGCACGACCAGUCACACGGGCACUGAGACACGGGCCCGACUCCUACGGGAGGCAGCAGUAAGGAAUAUUGGUCAAUGGACGCAAGUCUGAACCAGCCAUGCCGCGUGAAGGAUGAAGGUCCUCUGGAUUGUAAACUUCUUUUAUAUGGGACGAAACCCUCGUUUUCUAACGGGAUUGACGGUACCAUAGGAAUAAGCACCGGCUAACUCCGUGCCAGCAGCCGCGGUAAUACGGAGGGUGCAAGCGUUAUCCGGAUUCACUGGGUUUAAAGGGUGCGUAGGAGGGCAGGUAAGUCAGUGGUGAAAUCCCCGAGCUUACUUGGGAACUGNCGUUGAUACUAUCUGUCUUGAAUACCGUGGAGGUGAGCGGAAUAUGUCAUGUAGCGGUGAAAUGCUUA